UAACGCUUAUAGGUCAAAUGAUAAAAAAACUAGAGGCCGAUAAACGUUUGCUCCCGUUCAUAUUAAUAACAUGUUUACUCUGUAUUUUUAGAGCGUGUUAACUUCAUUAGGAAUCGCACGGCUUCGUCGAGAGGUCCCUGCAAAACAAAGUGAGAAGUGGAAUAUUCAAACGACGAAAUUACGAAGCGAAAUUGCCUCUCAACUUUCCGUAUUAAAAUCUGUGAGCAAACAAGGACGGUCCAGUAAUUUUAAUAGGCUGUGGAUUUUUUUAUUUGUACCCUUUGGCUAUAAAAGCUUCGGUGGUCUUUCACGGACUUCAUUAAAGAGUUGACCCUUUCGUUAGAACGUCAGAAUAUCAGGAACUAAAUAGCAGUCACGAUGGUGGAAAAACUCCUCCUAGCGUUACUGAUGGUGGCUUGCAGCUCAAAUUUCGCAUCUACACACAUAGUGACGUCAGCACAAUCGGACCUCGAGUUCCUCGACUGCGUGAGCUCGUUGACUCACACCGUACAGACCACUCUAUGUCCUAUGUACGGGCGAAUCGGGGAGUAUCCUAUGGAAUACAUGCACCCCGCUUUCGACCCUCGCGAGGCGGAGACCAGAAGCUGGGAGUUCCGCAACAACAUGAAGAGAUGCUGUACGAGACCCUGCAGCAUAUCAGAGCUGGUCGCCGUGUGUUAGACGAAUUAGAUGAGGUACUGAGAUAACGUAUGACGCGUAAAUCAAGAUUUGGAAAGAGUGACCGGAUCGCGGGCUUGUCGCAUGCAUCGCAGUUACCUUUGUACCUUCGAUUUAUUCAAUGCAGCGCAGUGUACCUAUUCAAUAAAUAUAGUUUUUGUAUUUUUGAUCA